rnacentral:lncRNA from 1 species
GAAGGAAAGAAAGCUAGAGGGAGCCGGAGCGGAGCUGCACUUCACGCCGAAGUUUCCCCUUCGAAUCGUCUGGAGUUGCCACUUUGGAGGCAGAUUCUCCAGCCUUGGUCAGGCCUUCAGAUGACUGCAGCCCUGGCUGAUGACUUGACUGCCACCUCAUGAGAGACCUUGAGCCAGAACCACCCAGCCAAGCCACUCCUGGAUUCCUGAUCCACAGAAACUAGCUUCUCUGAGUCCUGGGCCAAGUGUGUGUGCAGGAGACACACUGCAGGAGAUAGUGCCAGUUUCUCCUGCAGGUCACCCGCAGCAUCAAGGUUGGACAUGGUAAGACACAGAAGAGGGUUCCAGUUUGUCCUCAAUGGUCCCAUUGGUCCUCAUGAGUU